rnacentral:rRNA from 1 species
UGGGGAAUUUUGCACAAUGGGCGCAAGCCUGAUGCAGCAAUGCCGCGUGGGUGAAGAAGGCUUUCGGGUUGUAAAUCCCUGUCGGCUGGGAAAAACGGCAGUGUAUCUAACAAAUACGCUGAUUGAUGGUACCAGCAAAGGAAGAGGCGGCUAACUCUGUGCCAGCAGCCGCGGUAAUACAGAGGCCUCAAGCGUUGUUCGGAAUUACUGGGCGUAAAGCGGGUGUAGGUUGCGCCAUAAGUCAGAUGUGAAAGCCCUGGGCUUAACCCGGGAAGUGCGUCUGAUACUGUGGUGCUCGAGUUCAAGAGAGGUAAGAGGAAUUCCUAGUGUAGGGGUGAAAUCCGUAGAUAUUAGGAGGAAUACCAAUGGCGAAGGCAUCUUACUGGCUUGACACUGACAC